GCCCGAAUGGCGAAAUUGGUAGACGCAGCAGACUCAAAAUCUGCCGGUGUAACAGCUGUACCGGUUCGAGUCCGGUUUCGGGCA
rnacentral:tRNA from 1 species